rnacentral:rRNA from 1 species
CCAGUAGCGGCGAGCGAACGGGGAGCAGCCCAGAGUCUGAAUCAGCUUGUGUGUUAGUGGAACGGUCUGGAAAGUCCGACGGUACAGGGUGAUAGUCCCGUACACCAAAAUGCACAGGUUGUGAACUCGAAGAGUAGGGCGGGACACGUGGUAUCCUGUCUGAAUAUGGGGGGACCAUCCUCCAAGGCUAAAUACUCCUGACUGACCGAUAGUGAACCAGUACCGUGAGGGAAAGGC